rnacentral:rRNA from 1 species
GAUGAACGCUAGCUACAGGCUUAACACAUGCAAGUCGAGGGGCAGCAUGGUCUUAGCUUGCUAAGGCCGAUGGCGACCGGCGCACGGGUGAGUAACACGUAUCCAACCUGCCGUCUACUCUUGGACAGCCUUCUGAAAGGACGAUUAAUACAAGAUGGCAUCAUGAGUCCGCAUGUUCACAUGAUUAAACAUAUUCAGGUAGACGAUGGGGAUGCGUUCCAUUAGAUAGUAGGCGGGGUAACGGACCACCUAGUUUUCGAUGGAUAGGGGUUUUGAGAGGAAGGUCCCCCAAAUUGGAAAUGAGACACGGUCCAAACUCCUACGGGAGGCAGCAGUGAGGAAUAUUGGUCAAUGGGCGAGAGCCUGAACCAGCCAAGUAGCGUGAAGGAUGACUGGCCUAUGGGUUGUAAACUUCUUUUAUAAAGGAAUAAAGUCGGGUAUGGAUACCCGUUUGCAUGUACUUUAUGAAUAAGGAUCGGCUAACUCCGUGCCAGCCGCCGCAGUAACAC